AGACAGACAGACAGACAGACAGACAGACAGACAGAGACAGAGACAGACAGACAGACAGACAGACAGACAGACAGACAGACAGACAGACAGACAGACAGACAGACAGACAGACAGACAGACAGACAGACAGACAGACAGAGACGUUGUUGAUGUUAAUGCCAAGAACUCGCCCUCAUGCAGGCAGCAGACACUGUGUUACUGAAUACUCGGAUCCUUCCUGUCCUCUCUGUUGCUUCCUGUCUGACACAGGAAGUGGGCUGUCCUCUCCCAGUGCACAGGGAAGAGCAUGCCAAACCAAGCCUACCCAGGGUUCCUCACAGAGUAACACUUUCAACAGGGCUGUGGGCUCUCUCUCUGUCUUUCUCACAAACACACACACACUAGCUGAGAGAUCAGCAAGUACACUAUAAGAAGAGUACAGGCAGUAUUAGAAUGUGAGUUAUGAGGGAGAACUCUGUCUAACCUUUGGCCCCAGCACUGACUUCUAUAUCAGUCUUCCUUAAUAUUCUGUUACUGUGACGACCACAGAACAACUGACUCUAACACUCCUCUAGUUGCCAACACACGUAAAUGACAUAACUCUCAUACACACACACAUGCUCACACAGCAGUAGUGGUCUGUAACCCAGAUGUUUGUCUGUCUGUACAUAUGUGUGUUUGCCUGACAAUACGCGUGAGUAUGUUUGAGUGUGCAGGUGUUUGUGUGUUGAACUAUUUUGUAACAUUUGUACAAAGCCUUGUUAAGUUAACCUUGUAAAUAUAUAUAUUAUUACAUUAUUAUUAUAAUUUUUGUUUUUGUUUUUUAUGGUUAACAUAAGUGCACACAGGUGCACCAUAAUUUCCUUCAAGAUGUUACUUGAAAUGUUCCCCUUAAUAUAUUAUUUUUUCUUUUAUAUACAGUGUAUAUUAUAUAUAUUUUUUGGUAUGAAAAGAAUAAGUACUUUUAUUGUGAUUUGACUUCUCGCAUCCUAAACGCAUCCUAAACGCAUCCUUAAAGAAGCAUCCUAAAUCUGACUUAAUUCCCGUUCCUUGUUUCCUCAUAGACGGCCUUCCUCUGUGACUCACAGUGCUCUAUGCAGAAAUACUUUCUCUCGUUUAGCAAAGAUAGAAUAACUCAUCCAACAUUCAAAUUCUCCAGUCAAUAUCCCUAGGUCUGGCCGUUGCAAUGCCUCUCCAUUUCAUGGCUGGAUAGCAUCCAUUUCCGCAUUUGAAGAAAGAAACGUACUCUCCCCUUGCUGACACUAGUAUCUACUUUAUCUAUUUUGCAGCAAGCAGGGCUUUAUCUACUUAAGUCAGAAUAAUGUUUGUAAGCAACUCAGCUCUCUUAUCAAAGAACGGUCACAUACUGUACUCGCAUCAACGUUAUCAUAACUGUCUUUUCAAUUGGAUGAAGUAUUAGUUGGUAAUAAUUUGCUUGACCAAACCUGCAUAUGUACCAGAGGAAACAUUUCCUCUCAUCUGAUAGGUGGCAUAGAAAGCUUCAAAAUAUUGACAACAUGCCGUUAAAACGUCAAGGAUUAUAAAUGCAACCUGCAUGUAUACACAAAGUUACGUUUGGUAUACGUCUGUCAAUUAUAUUUGAUUUGUUAUAUUAUCAGGAAUCGUUUUAGUGUGACACCAUCUGCACAUGAUUUUUCAUGUCACAUAAUACAUUUCCGUAAGUUUAGACUCACUCAAGUGAAUGACCACUGUGAGCGGGGUGCUUCAGAAUUCCUGGGUACAAAUGACUGAUUGCAGAAAUGUGGUUACCAUAAGUAGGCAUUUUGGGGUCUGCUGUGUUUCUAGACUUGCAUGUCAUUCUCUUGGCCAUGGUCCAAGAUGAGUUUCCAUUUCCCAGAUACUCUUUAUUAACUGUUCCUCAACCAAUGUCAUAUGGGACUUAUUCUUCGGGUUUGCCUGACAGGAUUUUUCUCAUCAUUAAAUGUAAUUGACUUUUUGUUAGUCUUGUCUUACCUCAAGACUUGCCCUACAAGUGCCUGAUUUCUGGGGUGUUUUUGUUCUGCAGUGAGUGCCAUGGUCAGUCCUCACCUCCCCCAUUAACCCUCAUUAUUCCAGACUCUCAAAGCCAAAAGCUUCAACCUUCACAUCUAGUUAUAAGCCAGACUGAAUCCAUUAUCUUCUCGUUGCUGUGCUUACAUCUUAGCCGCUGACCCAAAGACGUGUACACGAACAGCCUCUCUGGGAGGCCAUUAACAGCAACACUAUGUCUGGCCAAGGACUUGUCUAUGCAGUCUGUUUGCAUCUAACAGGCACUAACAAACAGCAGAAUACCCGAUGCUGCAAAGGCGAGGGAAAGUAUACUGCUCUCACCUGCUUUUCUCGUACACAGAGGUUAUUUCACGUGGACAGUGUUUUCUAUGGUAUACAUAACAAGCUCCAAGUAAGGGUAAUCAAUACCUAAAACAUGGGAAUAUAGUACCAACUCAUUUGCAUUAGAUUUUGUUUGGUGAACUAACUGUAUAAAUAUAAUCUGUAGGAGACAUACAGCUGAGCUUAACAGAGCUGAUCCAAACUGCUCAUGCCUUCAUGGAAAAGAUAAAUACAGAAAUUGUAGAACAUUCUGACAACGCUCAAUGUGUGUUUAGGUGUCCGUCUCUUGAAAUGUGACAUAUCUUAUGUUUGUUAUUAUGUCUGAUAAUAUUUUGUACAUAUUGUCUUGAUAUGUAACAUAUUGUAUUGUGUAAAGUACAUUUUGAAUUGCUUUGAGUAAACAAUCUUAUAAGAAAAUGGACUGACUAAAGGUUAUCCACCUGGAACCAUUUUAUUCAAUGGCUUUUUUCCUUCAAAGCAAGGUUAUAUGAUGUAAAUAAACAGAAUUACGUUUUAAAAAUAGAAUUUCUUUCAGUUGCUUGAAAGUUUUGUGAAUGUUUAAUGUCAAUAGUAUUCUGUUGUCAAUGCUGACAUGCUUCAUUCUAGGCAAAAGUUUCAGAUAUGUCAUUGAAAUGGGGUAGGAUGUCAAUCCACAUUAACAAAAUUCAUUCACAGGUUUGUGAAACCACUGAUUGGCAUCCACCCAACGCAUCCUGCACCACAAUAAAAAAAAAUACUGU
ensembl:lncRNA